rnacentral:rRNA from 1 species
UACGUAGGCAGCGAGCGUUGUUCGGAAUUACUGGGCGUAAAGAGUGUGUAGGCGGUGCUCCCAGUCUGUUGUGAAAUCUCCCGGCUUAACUGGGAGGGUGCAGCGGAAACUAGAGUGCUGGAGGGUGGGAGAGGUAAGCGGAAUUCCUGGUGUAGCGGUGAAAUGCGUAGAUAUCAGGAGGAACACCUGUGGUGUAGACAGCUUACUGGACCACUUCUGACGCUGAGACACGAAAGCGUGGGUAGCAAACAGG